GACGAACGCUGGCGGCGUGCUUAACACAUGCAAGUCGAACGGAAAGGCCCUGCUUUUGUGGGGUGCUCGAGUGGCGAACGGGUGAGUAACACGUGAGUAACCUGCCCUUGACUUUGGGAUAACUUCAGGAAACUGGGGCUAAUACCGGAUAGGAGCUCCUGCUGCAUGGUGGGGGUUGGAAAGUUUCGGCGGUUGGGGAUGGACUCGCGGCUUAUCAGCUGGUUGGGGGGGUAGUGGCUUACCAAGGCUUUGACGGGUAGCCGGCCGGAGGGGGUGACCGGCCAGUUGGGGACGGAGAUCGGCCCGAGCCCCCUACGGGGGGCAGGGGGGGAGAAUAUGAAACAGGGGGGGGGGGCGAGAGCCACAGGCGCCGGGGGGGGAAAGGGGCCUGGGGGGGGAAAACCCUCUUGCCCGGGGGACGAGGUGGGAUGGAGGGUAAGGGAUAAAAAAGCCCCGGCUAACUACGUG
rnacentral:rRNA from 1 species